ACCGCGUAGCUCAGUUGGAAGAGCAUUGGGCUAGUAUUCCAAAGGUCGUAGGUUCGAAUCCCGCCGUGGCCA